CCCUAACCCUACCAUACCCUACCCCUAACCCUACCCCCCUACCCAUACCCCUAACCCUACCCAUACCCCUAACCCUACCCUACCCUACCCCUAACCCUACCCCUACCCUAACCCUACCAUACCCCUAACUCCUACCCCUAACCAUAACCCUACCAUACCCCUACUCCUAACCCUAACCAUACCCCUAACCCUACCAUACCCCUACUCCUAACCCUAACCCCCCCUACCCAUACCCCUAACCAUACCCCUAACCCUACCAUACCCCUACUCCUAACCCUAACCCUACCCCUACCCAUACCCCUAACCCUAACCCUACCCCCCCUACUCCUACCCCUAACCAUACCCCUAACCCUACCAUACCCCUACUCCUACCCCUAACCCUAACCCUACCAUACCCUACUCCUACCCCUAACCCUACCCCUAACCCUACCAUACCCCUACUCCUACCCCUAACCAUGCCCCUAACCCUAACCCUACCAUACCCCUACUCCUAACCCUAACCCUACCCCUACCCAUACCCCUAACCCUAACCCUACCCAUACCCCUAACCCUACCAUACCCUACCCCUAACCCUACCCAUACCCCUAACCCUACCCAUACCCAUAGCCCUAACCCUACCAUACAACUACCCAUACCCUACCCAUACCGCUAACCCUACCUAUACCCCUCACCCUUCUCCUAACCCCCAUAACUCCUACCCCUACCCUCAUGUUAACGAGUUCAUGGUGGGAUUCAAGAACGACAUCAACCAAUUGGUUCUUAAACACAAUAAAGCGUAGAGUUCCCCUGAGAACCCUACCUCUACUAUGGCCUAAUCUCCCUCCAGCCAUCAUUCUUAUUCUGUAUCUCUCUCUGGUCUCUCUCUGUCCUACUCUCUGGUCUCUCUAUGUCCGUCUCUCUCUGGUCUCUCUCUGUCCCUCUCUCUCUGGUCUCUCUCUGUCCCUCUCUCUCUGGUCUCUCUCUGUACCUCUCUCUCUGUAUGUGUUAUUGUUUUGUCAAUCUUAUUUAUUUAUUUUAUGUUUGCAGGUCAUGCUUGGGGCCAAAGUCCACGUAGGGGGUAGCUAUACUGGACACAAUGACUAUCAACUGGGUUUGUUGGAUUUGUGAAAUCAAUGCCAAAACGAAGAUUGAAUUGGAAUUCAUACACACUAAAUAAAUAGUAAUGUGUGUUAUUUCCUCUCAUUUCAAUGAGACAUGCUCCAUAUGGGAUGUGGACGGCAGUAUUAUGUGCUACAGGCAUUCUGUGCAUGCAGCUAGAUGCUGUAAUGAAGGGAUUUGUUUAAAAGUAUUCAGGUAUGAUGUCAAGCUGAAAGGCAGAUACCGGGUGUUUCAAACAUUCAAUAAACAGACCGUUCAAACGUGUGUGUGUGUGUGUGUGUGUGUGCGUGCGUGCGCAAGAUGGAGCCUAGACUAGCCUCAUGCAGUCCAAUGACUGGUUUCAGUCAUGUUGCACAGUAAACACGGCCCACUUUAGUAUUAAACACUAAUCACAGCCCACUUUAGUACUCAACACUUAUCACGGCCCACUUUAGUAUUAAACACUUAUCACGGCCCACUUUAGUACGAAACACUUAUCACGGCCCACUUUAGUAUUAAACACUAAUCACAGCCCACUUAAGUACGCAACACUAAUCACAGCCCACUUUAGUACUAAUCACGGCCCACUUUAGUACUAAACACUAAUCACGGCCCACUUUAGUACUAAACACUAAUCACGGCCCACUUUAGUACUAAACACUAAUCACGGCCCACUUAAGUACUAAACACUAAUCACGGCCGACAUUAGUACUGAACACUAAUCACGGCCGACAUUAGUACUGAACACUAAUCACGGCCCACUUUAGUACUGAACACUAAUCACAGCACUCUUUAGUACUAAUCACUAAUCAUGGCCCACUUUAGUACUAAACACUAAGCAUGGCACACUUUAGUACUAAACACUAAUCACGGCCCACUUUAGUACUAAACACUAAUCACGGCCCACUUAAGUACUAAACACUAAUCAUGGCCGACAUUAGUACUGAACACUAAUCACGGCCGACUUAAGUACUAAACACUAAUC
ensembl:lncRNA